UAGGGAAUCUUCGGCAAUGGACGAAAGUCUGACCGAGCAGCGCCGCGUGAGUGAAGAAGGUUUUCGGAUCGUAAAACUCUGUUGUUAGAGAAGAACAAGGGUGAGAGUAACUGUUCACCCCUUGACGGUAUCUAACCAGAAAGCCACGGCUAACUACGUGCCAG
rnacentral:rRNA from 1 species